AGCGAACGCUGGCGGCAGGCCUAACACAUGCAAGUCGAACGAAGUCUUCGGACUUAGUGGCGGACGGGUGAGUAACACGUGGGAACGUACCUUUUGGUUCGGAACAACUCGGGGAAACUUGAGCUAAUACCGGAUGAGCCCUUAGGGGGAAAGAUUUAUCGCCGAAAGAGCGGCCCGCGUUAGAUUAGCUAGUUGGUGAGGUAAAGGCUCACCAAGGCUACGAUCUAUAGCUGGUCUGAGAGGAUGAUCAGCCACACUGGGACUGAGACACGGCCCAGACUCCUACGGGAGGCAGCAGUGGGGAAUCUUGCGCAAUGGGCGAAAGCCUGACGCAGCCAUGCCGCGUGAAUGAUGAAGGUCUUAGGAUUGUAAAAUUCUUUUACCAGGGACGAUAAUGACGGUACCUGGAGAAAAAGCCCCGGCUAACUUCGUGCCAGCCGCCGCCGUAAUAC
rnacentral:rRNA from 1 species